rnacentral:tRNA from 1 species
CCCGAAUAGCUCAGUGGUAACGUCUCUGACUGUGAAGCCGAGUGACACAGGAUCGAGUCCGUUAGGGGGCA